rnacentral:misc_RNA from 1 species
AAGUCGUAACAAGGUUUCCGUAGGUGAACCUGCGGAAGGAUCAUUAACACAAUACUUUCAAUAUCAACCUUGGAGCAUCCGUCUGAGCCUUCAGUUGUUAGAGUGUCGACUAGUCAAUGGUUGGAAUUUUUCGGACUAGCCUGCUUUAAGUUAGCCCGUCUCUCUUCGGAGCGGCGAUGGUUAGCGCUCUACUUCGUAGGUGAUACAGUCUCUACCAUGGCUGGCCCCCUUUUUUUUUCAAACCUUUGACAUUUGUACUGAUUUGGGCUUUUGAAUUGAGAGGAGCAAUCCCUUCUUCAAGCUUUUGAUGGAGUAAUCCAUUAAUUAACCAAAACACAACUCUUAACAGUGGAUAUCUCGGUUCUC